GAUGAAGAACGCAGCGAAAUGCGAUAAGUAAUGUGAAUUGCAGAAUUCAGUGAAUCAUCGAAUCUUUGAACGCACCUUGCGCCCUUUGGCUAUUCUGAAGGGCAUACCUGUUUGAGUAUCAUGAACACCUCAACUCUCAUGGUUCGCCAUGAUGAGCUUGGACUUUGGGGGUCUUGCUGGCCUACGGUCGGCUCCUCUCAAAUGAAUCAGCUUGCCAGUGUUUGGUAGAGUCGCAGGUGUGAUAACUAUCUACGCUUGUGGUUUUCUGCCAGAUAACCUUCAGUGAUGGAGGUUCGCUGGAGCUUAUAAAUGUCUCUCCCCAGUGAGGACAGCUUUUUGAACGUUUGAUCUCAAAUCAGGUAGGACUACCCGCUGAACUUAAGCAUAUCAAUAAGCGGAGGA
rnacentral:misc_RNA from 1 species